rnacentral:rRNA from 1 species
CUGGCCGUAAACGAUGGAUACUAGGCGUAGUGGGUAUCGACCCCUACUGUGCCGCAGCUAACGCGAUAAGUAUCCCGCCUGAGUANACGCGAAGAACCUUACCAGGGCUUGACAUGUCAGGAAUCUUACGGAAACGUAGGAGUGCUCGCAAGAGAACCUGAACACAGGUGG